rnacentral:rRNA from 1 species
UACGUAGGUGGCAAGCGUUACUCGGAAUCACUAGGCGUAAAGCGCAGGUAGGCGGUUGGAUAAGUUUCUUGUGAAAGCUCCUGGCUUAACUGGGAGAGGUCAAGGAAUACUGUCUGACUUGAGUGUGGUAGGGGUAACUGGAAUUCCCGGUGUAGCGGUGAAAUGCGUAGAUAUCAGGAGGAACACCGGUGGCGAAGGCGGUUCUCUGGGCCUGUACUGACGUGAGGAGCGAAAAGCGUGGGGGAGCGAACAGG